UACGUAGGGCGCGAGCGUUGUCCGGAUUUAUUGGGCGUAAAGAGCUCGUAGGCGGCUUGUUGCGUCAGCUGUGAAAACCCGCAGCUCAACUGUGGGCUUGCAGCUGAUACGGGCAGGCUUGAGUUCGGUAGGGGAGACUGGAAUUCCUGGUGUAGCGGUGAAAUGCGCAGAUAUCAGGAAGAACACCCGUGGCGAAGGCGGUUCUCUGGGACGGUACUGACGCUGAGACGCGAAAGCGUGGGGAGCGAACAGG
rnacentral:rRNA from 1 species